AUUGAACGCUGGCGGCAUGCCUUACACAUGCAAGUCGAACGGUAACAGGUCUUCGGAUGCUGACGAGUGGCGAACGGGUGAGUAAUACAUCGGAACGUGCCCGAGAGUGGGGGAUAACGAAGCGAAAGCUUUGCUAAUACCGCAUACGAUCUACGGAUGAAAGCAGGGGACCGCAAGGCCUUGCGCGGACGGAGCGGCCGAUGGCGGAUUAGGUAGUUGGUGGGAUAAAAGCUUACCAAGCCGACGAUCUGUAGCUGGUCUGAGAGGACGACCAGCCACACUGGGACUGAGACACGGCCCAGACUCCUACGGGAGGCAGCAGUGGGGAAUUUUGGACAAUGGGCGAAAGCCUGAUCCAGCCAUGCCGCGUGCAGGAUGAAGGCCUUCGGGUUGUAAACUGCUUUUGUACGGAACGAAAAGACUCUUUCUAAUAAAGAGGGUCCAUGACAGUACCGUAAGAAUAAGCACCGGCUAACUACGUGCCAGCCGCCGCCGUAAGAC
rnacentral:rRNA from 1 species